AGAACUACGUUGUAUUUAAUAAGGUUGAAGCAUUCUACCCUAUACAUACAAUAUAUAGCUGAAAAGGAAUCUAGUUAUCACUAUGUCGACUAUUCAUGCAUUCUACGAAUUGCAUAACUGCAUCCUUCGCACAACCAAACAACUAUGAAUCAUAAUACUAAAAAAAAACUAAAACUUCAGUUAAGUAUAAAACUAACUAUCAUUUUAUGCUAUUGAAUUACAAACUAGCGAGUUACACGAGUUUAUCAAUAUACUAUGAGUAUUGCAGCAACUAAUUAAACUUCUUCAAAAUCUUUCAUUCUCAUGCUUUCAACUGUUACGAUUACAUCGAUGUAGGAUUCGAAAUGUGUACCUGGAAUGCUGAAAUGCAAAGAAGAAGAAGAGGAUAGGGAAAAGUCAGCAGCAUCAGCAGAAGAUAGCAACCACAAACAACAAAUAACAGCAGCAAUGGCAAACCCAGGCAGGAUAAACCAAAAGUAACUCAAUGAUUUAGUUCCCAAUAUUCAAGUAAGAGAGUAAAGCCCAGUUGAGACCCAGGAAACUCCAAUGUCAUUCCAAACAGGUAACAGAUGGAUCCGAUACAACAAAAGAGUACAGUUGCUGAUUUUCAAAUACUUCAAAGCAAGGACCCUUAGUCUAAACUGAACCAGUAGCAGAUUAGAGCUAGUGUUCAAAAAGAAAAGAUGAAGAAAACAGUGUUUUCAGUUUCAAUCAAACAAACAAAAAUCUCUUUCUAUCUUCCCCUGAUUUCUGAACUCUCUUUUGCUAAGUUUCAUAACUAAAACCCUGCCCUUUCUAUUGCCUCAUUGAAUCUUUUAAAUUCAGAAAAUGUUUUCUUUCCUCCUCCUUCCCUCUUUUGUGUGUGUGUAUCUGUAUGUGUAUAUGUCUCUGUGUAUGUCUAUGUAUAUCUCUCUCUCCUCUCUCUCGUGUCUCCUCCUCUUUUUCAAUGGAAAUUCCCUCCUCUAUUUAUAACUGUUUCCAGACCAGUCACCACCUGUAAAACCAUUCAGACUCCCUCCUUUUCUGCUGUUUUUCCACUCAAACUUUUAAAAGUAAAACCCCUCCCAUGAUAUUCCCCUGACAGCCCUUCUAUCAUCUUAUUAAACUAAACAGAUGUAUGGUCAGCCUAAAUAUGCCCUGACAGCACAUGCUGUCAAGUUAUUUUAACCUCUAAAAGGCCUUAAUGCACAUGCUGUCCACAAGUGCACAUGCCCUCAAUUCAGACUGCAGCUAUAGACCAAUCCUUAAUUUUUCUGAUUCAAAUACACCAAUUAUAAGUAGCUAUACUCAAUUCCUAAUUUGAUUCAAACAAAGUUUCAACAGGAAAUAAAUCAAAUAGUUACCAUUCAAACAACUGAAACUAAUCGACGACACGUAUCGAAUCGACUAUACCAAUUAUAACAUAUACAAUCAAUAGCCAAGGAUCGGAAUCGAACAGUAUUGAACAAGGGGUUCAGAUUGCACUGUCAAAACAAAAAUAAUGACCCUGGGAACCAAUUAAUCGACCAAUUUUAAUUUCAGUUGGUUGUACGGUUUACACAUACACACAUUAUCAGUAAAUGAAGAAGGACUUGACCAAAUACAGAGGUCCGGGCAAGGUGGACAGAAACAGUCGACAAACAAUUCAAAAUAAAAUCAACUAAACAUUUGGGGCAAUGAACAGACAUUUAACUACAACAAACACAUGAACUGAUAAAAAAAAGAAAGCAAAAAUACCUUAAAAUCUUGAAAAAUCAGCAAGCCCUAGCUCGGAUUUGAAUCGACCUUUCUUGGGGUUGAAUGGACUUUAAUCGAAGUGUUCUCAACUGAGAACACUUCGAUUAAGGUCCAUUAGACCCUAAUCAUCUGGUUCAAACGGACAUAGAUCGGACUCAGGACUUCUAGGGUUCCUAAGGGUAGAUUUGGGAUUUAUGUUUCCCUGGUUAGAUUCGGACCAAACCAAGCCUGGUUUGGUCACGAGGGAGGUCAGGGGAGUGCCUGGUAUGAAUAUGGGGUAGAUCGGUGUAGAUCGAAGUUCUACUCGAAUCUCCAAAUGAAGAUUCGAGAACCUAGGGACUGAUUCGAACUAAGCGGUUGGUGGAUUUGGAUUCAGGAUGGUGAAGUGCAUCUAUGGUGUUAAGGUGGUUGUCACUGGCGUGCUUGCCGCCGGGUUUAAUGGUGAGGGGAAAGGGGGUGGCGUUAUGGUUUCGUGGGGUUUAGGGUCUGGUGAAGGAGAUGACUCAAGGGAGGGGUGCUUGGAUAGGGGGGGCAGGGUACGAUAUGGAGGCUUUUAUAUGGGGUGGAUGGUUGGGUCUUGGCCGUUAGAUCACUCGAGAUCAACGGCCUGGAUCCACAGGUUAAUCCAAACGGUGUCGUUUGGUUUAGUUAUUUUAGAGUUAAAUUUGCAAUUAUGUUUUGCGAACGUAUACAUAAUCGCAAUACUAAUCUAAAUCAGACCUAAAGCAAACUACGAAUAUUCAAAGCAAUAUCUAUGCUAACUUUAUAUUUAUAUAAGGGCCAUAAAUUAUAGGAUUUUAUUUGUGUAUGGCACACCUCCAAUUAUUAGUUCUUGAUCUAAAUUUGUGAGGGCCAUGUGUUAUAAGUUUAAAGCAAGGCACACCUCAAAUUAUUUUAAGAAAAAGGUUAUAUAUUUUAAAAGGCAAACUAAAGGUACUCCUAUUUUUAAUCUAAAUUAAAAAAAGUUAUCACAACCACGUAAUGGGAGCCAUACCCGUAGUUGUAAUAAUUUAAUUGUGCGCCUAAAGUAAACUACAGUAUUCAUGAGCUGUUGAGGCCAAUUAAUACGGUUAUAAAAGUCAUAGCCAUAUGGAAUUCAUUUGCUGAAAGAGAUGCAUUAACAUUAUUAAACAAAUUAAAUCCAAAGGGAAUCUCUCAAAGCUCACCGAUUCAGUUGAAAUCGUGGCAAACUUAGUCGAAACCAAUUAUGACUACAAGUAAUUAACACUACAGAAGAAAAGACUGAGAUUUUGAUUAAUUCUACAAUGACUUUUGAUUUUAAAAAAUGAAUUACGAGUUUGGAGAGGAGAGUAAUGAUUUCAAGAGCUUUAGUAACUGAUUUUAAAGGCCAAGAAUCUGGAUUGGUAACUUAAUUAGAUUCUUAAUGGAUCUGGAUAGAAUAUGCAAGGAUGGGCCGCUUGGCACGAAGAAUUGGACUAAACAAAAAUUUCAGUUCGGCCCAACAAGAAGGAGGUGUUGGUCGAUCCCGACACAAAUUUAAUUUUUUUUUACAAAUCAUUAAUCUAUCCAUGAAAUCAAACUCACAUACAAAAUCAAGAAAGAUAUUAAAGGCCAAACAAAUUACAAAUAUGUUCAAUUACAAUUCCCUAUUCAAACGUUGAAUCAUCAAAAAUCCUUUGGAAAGAAAAAAUCUCAUUGUUUCUUGUUUCUGGACUAUUUUGCCAUUUUUUUAAAGUAUUAUUACAAGUCAAUGUUCCCGAGUAUUAUUUUAACAACUAACACAAUCUACAUCUGCAAAAAAAACGUCAGGACCAUACUGCUUUUUGGCCUAGAAUACACUUGCAAAAAUUAUUCUCCAAAAUUACUACUCCACAUGUAGAGAGCAAAGAUACAGAAGCAACACAACCUUCAUGACUAAAUAGAUGAAAGCAAUUAUAUCAUUUUAGACCUUUAUGACUAAAUCGAUGAAAUUCUAAAAGAAAAAAGAUACACUUGUUCUCAAUAGGAUACUCAGUUUCUAGAAGGAAGUGUUUCAAAUUAACAAGUGAACUUCAUUUCCGUUUAGAAAAAUUAACAUAGAAAGAGCCACAAAUCCUUCCACUUUGUGUUGCUACUUAUAAUAUGAAUCUCAUAAUGGACAUAUUGUUCACCAAAUCGUACAUCAUAUGACAAACAAUAUCAGAUUUUAUUUAUUCAUUUGCAUAGGUAAAUACAGAGAAGACAUGCAACUCACCUGGUGUUAGAAGGAAAUCACUACCAACCAAACAGAAAUCUAAACGGAGAAAACAGAUAGAAUCCGUCACAUUUGACAAAAACAUCAGCAACCAAAUAAAGGCUGAGAAAGAUAUGAAUUGAGCCCAGCCAACGCAAAAUUAGCAGUCAAAAUCAACAUAAAUAAACGGCAAAUCCACAGCUUCAAGGACCAGAAAUCAACUCGAUCCAAACUCAUUCUUGAGAAACCAGAAUCAACAAAAAAUGCUGAAAACAUUUUUGUGCUUUUCUCUGAUUUUUCUUUUGAAAAUGAAACUCGAAUGAAGAAACAAACUCAGACCAUUUUUUUAUUUUUUAUUUUUUGAACAAAGGGUGUCGAAUUAGAGAAGAGAAGGUAACAGAAGAAGAAAAACUUCAAAACCCUAGAAAUUUACUACUAAAUUUUCUGAAGAUCUUUUUUUCGAUUUAUUCUUCUAACAUAGCAAAAAAACUUACCUCAUAUAUAUAGCCUUCAAAGAUAUCAAAUUUUCUGCCCAAAAAAUUCGAAAAUCUUCAUAUUUUUGAACGUUUUUUUUGGAUCAAUGGAAGGCAUGGAUCGAUUUACAUCUAUACACGGCUCCUAUUCAUCCAGCAAAUCAUUCCUAUAGUACAGAAAUCAUGUGAUUUUGAGAGAAUAUCCAUAUUCUUUCUAACAAAAACCGUUGGGAAUCAAAUGACGUGGAGGGGAAGGGUCCCAUUUAAGUGAACUCGCCUGAGUUCCAGGCAAGUUGAGGGCUGGGUCGAGGGUUGAAGAAGAGGAACAGUAAUGGUGCAACGUUUCUGUGUUAGGUCUAGGGUUUGGAAUUGGGGAAAUAUUUAUAAGAUGGGGGUUUAUAUGGAGGGGAAAUGGGCGGGCCGGUUUAUUUUUGUCACGACCCAAACCGAUGGGCCGCAACGGGCACCCGGUAC
rnacentral:lncRNA from 1 species